GACGAACGCUGGCGGCGUGCUUAACACAUGCAAGUCGAACGGAAAGGCCCUGCUUUUGUGGGGUGCUCGAGUGGCGAACGGGUGAGUAACACGUGAGUAACCUGCCCUUUACUUUGGGAUAACUUCAGGAAACUGGGGCUAAUACCGGAUAGGAGCUCCUGCUGCAGUGUGUGGGUUGGAAAGUUUCGGCGGAUGGGGAUGGAGUCGCGGCUUAUCAGCUUGUUGGUGGGGUAGUGGCGUACCAAGGGUUGGAAGGGUAGACGGCCUGGGAGGGUGACCGGGCACAUUGGGACUGAGAUACGGACCAGACUCCUACGGGAGGCAGCAGUGGGGAAUAUUGCACAAUGGGCGGAAGCCUGAUGCAGCAACGCCGCGUGCGUGAUGCCGGCCUUCGGGUUGUAAACCGCUUUCGCCUGUGACGAAGCGUGAGUGACGGUAAUGGGUAAAGAAGCACCGGCUAACUACGUG
rnacentral:rRNA from 1 species